rnacentral:rRNA from 1 species
GAUGAACGCUGACAGAAUGCUUAACACAUGCAAGUCAACUUGAAUUUGGGUUUUUAACUUAGGUUUGGGUGGCGGACGGGUGAGUAACGCGUAAAGAACUUGCCUCACAGCUAGGGACAACAUUUGGAAACGAAUGCUAAUACCUAAUAUUAUGAUAAUAGGGCAUCCUAUAAUUAUGAAAGCUAUAAGCGCUGUGAGAGAGCUUUGCGUCCCAUUAGCUAGUUGGAGAGGUAACGGCUCACCAAGGCGAUGAUGGGUAGCCGGCCUGAGAGGGUGAUCGGCCACAAGGGGACUGAGACACGGCCCUUACUCCUACGGGAGGCAGCAGUGGGGAAUAUUGGACAAUGGACCGAGAGUCUGAUCCAGCAAUUCUGUGUGCACGAUGAAGUUUUUCGGAAUGUAAAGUGCUUUCAGUUGGGAAGAAACAAAUGACGGUACCAACAGUAGAAGUGACGGCUAAAUACGUG